rnacentral:lncRNA from 11 species
AUGGUAUUAUUAUUAGUAUUACAUUGUAUAACAUGAUAAUAUCAAUAUCAUAUGUAUAUAUAAUAUAUUAUUAAAACUGAUAUAAAAAUAUUAUAUUAUAAAUGAGGGCGGGGGGCAGGUAAAUGACCUUGGAGGGCCGCAUCUGGCCCCCGGGCCUUAGUUUGGGGACCCCUGAUCUAGUGCCUUUAGGAUAUUUAGGCAGCUCAUCAUUCCCUACGUACUUUGAGUUUGCAGGUGGAAGAGGAGGUGGUAAUGAGAGCAUUUGAGCCUUGCAUACAGAGUGCUUUUUCCUUCCACCAAAUACUUGUCCCUCCACCCUUUAGAUUUUGUUGGGAGGCCAAUUGCUUGCGCUCUCCUGUUGCAUUGCAAGCAGGAUGCAGGCAAAGACUACCACUGCUGCUCUUCUGCCUGAGAGCUGGAGGAGAUAAAUGCCCAUGGGCCCCUCCCUCUGAGGGCCCUGCCUGCGAUGUGAGGCACCCCAGCCUCAAAGGAGAGGUCCCCGCUCUGCUCUUCCUCCGCCGGGAGGCUUCUUGGGGGUUGGUUCGCACCGAUGCAGGAUGUAACUCCUGGAGGCGGUUGCCUAGCAACUGUCUCCGGCCGAUGCAGAGGCGCUCAGCUGGCGAGGAAGGAUGGGGGGGCAUGGGAGCCCCUGGUUUGCACCGAAGAAGCAUCACCAGCCGAAGGAGCCGAUGA